rnacentral:pre_miRNA from 1 species
GGGGGGAGGCGGGAUCCUGGGCUGUGUCCCGGCGCCCUGUGCUCCGGGGCCUGCGCUGUUGGAUUCGCGCUCCCGGGCCACGCAGCCCCCU